GGUUGUCAUAAAAAUUCAAAGUCUAGAGAAUCAAGAUCAAAUUGUAAGUAAAUUAUAAAAGUACAAACAUUAUUAUAUGCUUUGAGGAAUCAUAACUAUCUUUGAGGUAAAUCAUCGUCCCUAAAGUAUGUGCAAAAGUUAUUAACGCAUAGCAAAACAUAAGGAGGUUGUGCCACAAUGCAAUCAUCAUCAGAAAUGCAAGGAAUGUAAGCUGCAUUUCAAAUAAGAAAAAUAAAUGUUAUUAAGAGGUGAUAAAAUACUGUGUAUAAGAUAGAUUAUAAAAUGGUGUGAAAAAUGACAUACUUCUUCCUCCUGGUGGUCCUCCUUUCCUUCCAAUCAAAAACGGAGAAAGAAAGAUAAUCAAAGCAUAAACAAACAUGAGAAUGUGAGCCAUAUUUUUCUUCCUUUGCAUGUAAAACAAUUUUUUUAAUCUCUUUAUAAGUAAACUUUAAUGCUUUGUUAACUUUAAUUAAAAUAUUUUUUGUUGAUU
rnacentral:lncRNA from 1 species